AAGCUACUCCCUCCGUUCGGAAUUACUUGUCGCAGAAAUGGAUGUAUCUAGACGUAUUUUAGUUCUAGAUACAUCCAUUUUCGAGACAAGUAAUUCCAAACGGAGGGAGUACAUG
rnacentral:pre_miRNA from 1 species